rnacentral:rRNA from 1 species
CGUCGCCUGUUUAUCAAAAACAUGUCUGCGUGGUAAUUGAAACGCAGUAUGGCCUGCCCGCUGAUAUAGUUGAAGGGCCGCAGUAUCCUGACUGUGCAAAGGUAGCAUAAUCAGUUUCUUAAUUGGGAACUUGUAUGAAUGGUCGGACGAGAAAAAGACUGUUUCUUUCUUAGAUUUUGAAUACUUUUAGGUGCAAAGGCAAUAAGUUUGGGGGACGAUAAGACCCUAUAAAUCUUUACAAUUGUCUUGUCGUUCAAAUAGUUUGUUAGUUUAUAUUUGGCGAUAAUGAUUAGUUGUUUUGCUGGGGCGGCGUUUAUAAAGAAGUUAACUGUUUUAAAAAAAUACAAUUUUUGUUUAAGAUUUAAAGAUCCGAGAUUAGAAGUUAAAGUUACUUUAGGGAUAACAGCGUUAUUUUUUUUAAGAGUUCAUAUAAAAAAAGAUUGCGACCUCGAUGUUGAAUUAAAAUUUCCUAGGGGUGUAGAAGC